GAUGAACGCUGGCGGCGUGCCUAAUACAUGCAAGUCGAACGCUGGAAAUCUAGCUUGCUAGAUUGAAGGAGUGGCGAACGGGUGAGUAAUACAUAAGCAACCUACCCACGAAGACUGGGAUAAUCUCUGGAAACGGGGACUAAUACCGGAUAGGUAAUCGGAAGGCAUCUUCUGAUUAUUAAAGGUUAAAAACACUGGUGGAUGGGCUUAUGGCGCAUUAGUUAGUUGGUGAGGUAACGGCCCACCAAGACGAUGAUGCGUAGCCGGCCUGAGAGGGUGAACGGCCACAUUGGGACUGAGACACGGCCCAGACUCCUACGGGAGGCAGCAGUAGGGAAUUUUCGGCAAUGGGGAAACCCUGACCGAGCAACGCCGCGUGAGUGAUGACGGCCUUCGGGUUGUAAAGCUCUGUUGUAAGGGAAGAACGGUAGAUAGAGAAUAUCUAAAUGACGGUACCUUACCAGAAAGCCACGGCUAACUACGUG
rnacentral:rRNA from 1 species